GAGGUGGGAGGAUCACUUGAGUCCAGGGCAUCAAGGCUGCAGUGAGCCGUGAUCAUGCCACUGCACUCCAGCCUGAGUGACAGAGCAAGACCCUGUCUC
ensembl:miRNA